rnacentral:miRNA from 1 species
ACAAGCUUUCGGGAGAACCUCCCUUUCUCAAGUCUGAAGCAUUUCUGAGUGUUGUCUUGCUCAGAAAUGCUUCAGACUUGAGAAAGGGAGGUUCUCCCGAAAGCUUG